rnacentral:rRNA from 1 species
CCUUAACUUGCUGGGUCUUACCUACGGCGCUGUAACUUUGAAGAAAUUAGAGUGCUUAAAGCAAUCUUACGCUCUGUAUACAUUAGCAUCGCAUAACAUUAUAGGAUUUCGGUCCUAUUUUGUUCGCCUUUGGGAUCGGAGUAAUGAUUAACAGGGACAGUCAGGGGCAUUUGUAUUUCAUAGUCAUAGGUUAAAUUAUUGGAUUUAUGAAAUAUGAAUAACUGCGAAAGUAUUUUUGAAGGAUGUUUUCAUUAAUAAAGAAUGAAUGUUGGGGGAUCGAAGGCGAUCAGAUACCGUCCUAGUCUCAAUCAUAAAUGAUGCCGACCAGGGAUCGAAGGAUGUUGCUUUUAGGACUCCACCGGCACCUUAUGAGAAAUCAAAGUUUUUGGGUUCCGAUGGGAGUAUGACCGCAAGGCUAAAACUUAAAGAAAUUGACAGAAGGGCACCACCAGGAGUGGAGCCUGUGGCUUAAUUUGAUUCAACACGGGGAAACUUACUAGGUCCGGACAUAGUAAGAUUGACAAACUGAGAGCUCUUUCUUGAUUCUAUGGGUGGUGAUGCAUGUCCGUUCUUAGUUGGUGGAGUGAUUUGUCUGGUUAAUUUUGUUAAUGAACGAGACCUCAGCCUGCUAACUAGCUAUGCGGAGGUAUCCCUUCGCAUCCAGCUUCUUAGAGGGACUACGGCCUUUUAGGCUGCGGAUGGUUAAGUGCAAUAAUAGGUCUUUGAUGCCCUUUGCGCACUAAGGACCCUGGCCUGUGGGCUCCCCAUUUGACCCAUCUUGAAAAAUGAACCAAGGAGUCUGACAUGUGUGUGAGUGAAUGGGCGAGUAAACCCGUAAGGCGUAAGGAAGCUAAUUGGUGGUAUCCCCCGAGGGGUGCACCGCCGACCGACCUUGCUCUUCUGAGAAGGGUUAUAGUUUGAGCAUACCUGUCGGGACCCGAAAGAUGGUGAACUAUGCCUGAGUGGGGCGAAGCCAGAGGAAACUUAGGUGGAGGCCCAUAGUGAUACUGACGUGCAAAUCAUUCAUCUGACUUGGGUGUAGGGCCCGUGGCUGCUUUGUCGAGCCAUGCCACGGAAUCAAGAGCUCCAAGUGGGCCAUUUUUGGUAAGCAAAACUGGCGAUGCGGGAUGAACCGGAAGCCGGGUUACGAUGCCACACUAUGCGCUAACCUAGAACCUAAAAAGGGUGUUGGUCGAUUAAGACAGCAGGAUGGUAGUCAUAGAAGUCAAAAUCCACUAAGGAGUGUGUAAAAACUGACCUACCGAAUAAACUAGCCUCGAAAAUGGAUGGCACUUGGAUCGGGAUGUGGCGUUAGUGGGAGCCUUGGGAAGAGUUAUCUUUUCUGUAUAACAGCCUGCCCACCCUAGAAUCGGCUCAAUCGGAGGUAGGGUCCAGCGACAGGAAGAGCACCGCACGUCGUGUGGUGUCCCUUAAUAAUCCAGAGGACCAAAUACCGUCCACGCCCAAUCGUAGUUAUAAACACAUCAGUUCUCCAAGGGGAACAACCUCUGGUCGAGGGAACAAUGUAGGAAAGAAAAGUCGGCAAAAUGGAUCCGUAACUUCUGGAUAAGGAUUGGCACUGAGGGCUGGGCAUGGGGGUCCCAGUCUCGAAACUCAUCGGUUGUUGGUGGACUACUCGAGCUGCACCCGCAGUGAGAGUGGGUCGCGGUGUGCCAAUCGGGGGAUGGACUGGGAACGGUUCCUUCGGGGGCCUACCCCGCACGUUGAACAGCCUACUCAGAACUCGUACGGACAAGGGGAAUCCGACUUUUUAAUUAAAACAAAGCAUUGCGAUGGUCCCAAUGGAUUUUCACGCACUGUGAUUUCUGCCCAGUGCUCUGAAUGUCAAAGUGAAGAAAUUCAAUCAAGCGCGGGUAAACGGCGGGAGUAACUAUGACUCUCUUAAGGUAGACAAAUGCCUCAUCAUCUAAUUAUGGAUUAACGAGAUUCCCACUGUCCCUGUCUACUAUCCAGCGAAACCAAAACCAAGGGAACGGGCUUCGCAGAAUCAGCGGGGAAAGAAGACCCUCUUGAGCUUGACUCUACUCUGACUUUGUCAAAUGACUUGAGAGAUGAAGUAUAAGUGGGACUCGAAAGGUAAAAGUGAAAUACCACUACUUUUAACGUUAUUUUACUUAUUCUGUGAAUUGGAAGCGGGGCACUGCCUCUCUUUUUGGACCCAAGCCUAGCUCUGCAGGCCGAUCUAGGUGGAAGACAUUGUCAGGUGGGGAGUUUGGCUAGGGCUUCACAUCUGUUAAAAGAUAACGCAGGUGUUCUAAGAUGAGCUCAACAUGAACAAAAAUAUCGUGUGAAAUAGAAGGGAAAAAGCUCGUUUGAUUCUAAUUUCCAGUACGAAUACAAACCAUGAAAACGUGGACUAACGAUCCUUUAGACCUUCGGAAUUCGAAGCUAGAGGUGUUAGAAAAGUGUUACCAUAGGGAUAACUAGCCUGUUGCAGCGAAGUAUUCAUAGCGACGUUGCUUUUUCAUCCUUCGAUGUCGGCUCUUCCUAUCAUUGUGAAGCAAAAUUCACCAAGUGUUGGACUGUUCACCCAUCAAUAGGGACCGUGAGCUGGGUUUAUACCAUCGUGAGACAGGUUAGUUUUGCCCUACUUAUGAUAGUGUCGAAGUAGUAAUUCAACCUAGUACGAGAGGAAACAUUGAUUCACAUAAUUUGUCAUCACACUUGGUUGAAAAGCCAGUGGAGUAAAGCUAAUGUGUGCUGGAUUAUGACCGAACACCUCUAAGUUAGAAUCCGGGCUAAAAGCAACGCAUAUGUCCGCUGUCCACUUGCCGACCCACAGUAGGGGCCUCAGUCCCCAAGGGCACGUGUCGUUUGCUAAGCCACCGCUGCAGAAGAGUCACAAUGGCCGCAUUGAAGAAUAAUUUCCAUCGAGCGGCGGGUAGAAUCCUUUGCAGACGACUUAAAUAUGCGACGGGGUAUUGUAAGUGGAUGAGUGGCCUUGCUGCCAUGAUCCAUUGAGAUUCAUCCCUUUAUCGCUCUGGUUCGU